rnacentral:rRNA from 1 species
UACGUAGGGGGCAAGCGUUGUCCGGAUUUAUUGGGCGUAAAGAGCGUGUAGGCGGCCAAGCAGGUCCGCUGUGAAACUCGAGGCUCAACCUCGAGACGUCGGUGGAAACCGUUUGGCUAGAGUCCGGAAGAGGAGAGUGGAAUUCCCGGUGUAGCGGUGAAAUGCGCAGAUAUCGGGAAGAACACCCGUGGCGAAGGCGGCUCUCUGGGACGGUACUGACGCUGAGGAGCGAAAGCGUGGGAGCGAACGAGG